AGUGAACGCUGGCGGUAGGCCUAACACAUGCAAGUCGAACGGCAGCACAGGAGAGCUUGCUCUCUGGGUGGCGAGUGGCGGACGGGUGAGGAAUUCAUCGGAAUCUACUCUGUCGUGGGGGAUAACGUAGGGAAACUUACGCUAAUACCGCAUACGACCUACGGGUGAAAGCAGGGGACCUUCGGGCCUUGCGCGAUUGAAUGAGCCGAUGUCGGAUGAGCUAGUUGGCGGGGUAAAGGCCCACCAAGGCGACGAUCCGUAGCUGGUCUGAGAGGAUGAUCAGCCACACUGGAACUGAGACACGGUCCAGACUCCUACGGGAGGCAGCAGUGGGGAAUAUUGGACAAUGGGCGCAAGCCUGAUCCAGCCAUACCGCGUGGGUGAAGAAGGCCUUCGGGUUGUAAAGCCCUUUUGUUGGGAAAGAAAUCCAGCUGGCUAAUACCCGGUUGGGAUGACGGUACCCAAAGAAUAAGCACCGGCUAACUUCGUGCCAGCAGCCGCCGUAA
rnacentral:rRNA from 1 species